rnacentral:lncRNA from 1 species
GCAAAACUCUGUUAAACAGCAGAACUAUUAAGACUCCCGUGUUUUUUUAAAGCUCCUAUCUCCUCGAAUAGAAAACUCCUGUGUUUUUUUGGGAGCUCCUCCUCUCCUCGAUAGAAGCUAAGCUCCUCCUCUCUCCUCGAUUGAAGCUAGAAGAACCAAGCCAGAAGAACUAAACCACCCCAAAUCAGAAGAACCAAGCCCCAGAAGUCUUCUAAAUUGAACGAAGGGGCUGGAAGAACCAAGCCCUAGAAAUAAAGCAGCCCCAAAUCGAUUCUAAUUGGAAAUUUCUUCUCAAAAUCAUGAUUCAAAUCGGUAAACACUUUCUUUAUUCGUCUAAUUUUGUUUUUUGUUGGGUUUUGUACCAAUGUAAAGAAACCUUUGAAGCUUCAAACUUGGAUCAACAUAGUGUUAAUAUAAUGCAUUUUAAUCUAUAAUUGCGGUUCCAUCUUCACUUUGAUAUUUCCAGGCAAUUUGAAUCCACUCCAAACCCAACUUUGAGAAUGGAACCUAUAGUGAUUUCAUUAGUAAGUCCUGAAAAAAAUUUAGAGGCAUAUCUUUAAAGGCCAUAUCUUUAACUGAAAUGACCUUAGACUGGUUAAAUUUAUUUUGGAUAUUUCUAUAAUGAUUGAGUUUCAGAUUACUUGUAUAUCCAGCUUCUUUUGUUGUGGCCAGUUAACACCAUUGACAAAAAAGAUUCCUCGGCCAAAUAGAACUAAUGAUCAUGAGGUAUGUGAACUAAUAGAACAAGGACUGCAGUACAAGUGUUGUUCACUUCUAAAGAUGAUUUCUGUUCACUUUUAAAAAGUUUGUUCUUUAGAGAGUUAUAUAUUUAUGUUAUGCUUCUGUUCACUGUUUGGGUGAUUUGCAGUUUUGUGACAGAACAUACAUCUAGAAAAUGGGUACCUGGAAAACAAUUGAUGUGAGCAGGUAGAAUAUGUUUGGCAUGUUAGUGAUUGUCAAUAAUGGUAUUAAUGAUGGUUGUUCAGGGAGGUGGGAGUUUGGGGUCCUUCUGUACGGAAAUUGGUAGGCUUCUGCAGCAGCUUUGUGAGGAAGAAGAUGAGGCAUAGGGUUGCACUGUUAUUUAAACACACUAGCACUGUUAUUUGAAUGUUGGCUUUGAUGUAAUUUUUGUACAAAAGAAUGUAAUAGUUCAGUUUGAGAAUUUUUGUCUUGACAAUUAUGUUAGUUUAUAUGAUAUUCUCCAUGAAUCAAUAUUUUGAUUCAAAAAGUCUUACAUAGUAUUUUUUAAAUUAUAAUUAGAUGUUUGAAGUAAGUAAUUAUUAGAUGUUCUACCUCAUUGAAAACCAUUAUCCAAAGAAACUUUGUGCGGCAUUGAACACAUUACAACCAAGAAUUUACACAGCAC